UCCACCGACGACAUUGAUGGAGACCUUGUCAUGAGGAUAGGAGGCAGCAAGAAGCAUGUACGCGGCCUCCAGAUGGUGGCUCUCCUGCGGUACGCGGCCUAGGUGUCCCUCGUAUCAAUUGGGGGCCUUCAUAGUGAUGCACUUAUUUUGUUUAAACAUGUGAACUUUGUGGAUUGUGGUUAUUGAACAUGUUGGACUUAGUUUGGAUGUAUGUGAACUUAGUUUGGAGUAUUUGAACUUGUUAUGAUGGACAAAGUGAUGGAAAUGAUACUUUAUGUGGAUUAUGUGGUAUAUAUCGUUAUCGAUGUCGAAUAUGUGAGCUAUAGGCUCUUCGAUGUGAAAUAUGUGUCAAAUGAUCAGUUCAAUGGAAAUUGGAUGAAAAAAUAGAAAAAAAAAGUUUUGGUCGAUUUGCCGAGAGGGGCUCUCGGCAAAUCUGAAAAAUGGUGCCUUUGCCGAGAGUCCUCUCGGUGACUAUGGCAGGUUUGCCGAGAGCCAGGGGAAGGGCUCUCGGCAAAGAAGCCAUCAGCAUGGCCAAAUGCCCAGCUUUGUCGAGAGCCCUCCUGGCAGCUCUCGGCAAAGACUAUUAUCAAAAAAAAAAUUAUCUCUUUGCCGAGAGCUACCAGGAGGCUCUCGGCAAAGACUAUUUUCAAAAAAACAAAAUUUAUCUCUUUGCUGAGAGCCCUCCUGGCAGCUCUCGGUAAAGUUGCCGUCAGCCCACCGACACCGUAACGGCUAAUUUUUUUGCCGAGAGCUGGCUGUGGCUCUCGGCAAACCCUUUGUCGAGAGCCCGAUGAAUAGCUCUCGACAAAGACCUCUUUGCCGAUAAAAGAUGUGUCGAUAGGCCUUUGCCGAGAGCUACUCUCGGCAAAGGUUUUGCCGAGAGCAAGACUGCCUUUGCCGAGCCUCUCUGGAUACGCACAAGCAUGGGUACAUGGUAAUGUUUUAAUUCAUUCAAUUAUGCCUCAUUUGUAACCCUGUUGCUGUCUUUCUCGCAGUCGGCGACACACGGGGGACAACCUUGCUCCUUGUUCGCCGCGUAUGGCAUGUCCCACAAUGGCCCGGCGUCGUCCGACGUCUCCUUCAGCGUGGACGACCCGCCCGAGGCGUACACCAACGCGGGCGUCUACGACAAGGUCACCGCCUACACGUAGGCGGCAAGGCAGGUCCAUGGCCCGGACUACGAUCCAUCCACCGACGACAUUGAUGGAGACCUUGUCAUGAGGAUAGGAGGCAGCAAGAAGCAUGUACGCGGCCUCCAGAUGGUGGCUCUCCUGCGGUACGCGGCCUAGGUGUCCCUCGUAUCAAUUGGGGGCCUUCAUAGUGAUGCACUUAUUUUGUUUAAACAUGUGAACUUUGUGGAUUGUGGUUAUUGAACAUGUUGGACUUAGUUUGGAUGUAUGUGAACUUAGUUUGGAGUAUUUGAACUUGUUAUGAUGGACAAAGUGAUGGAAAUGAUACUUUAUGUGGAUUAUGUGGUAUAUAUCGUUAUCGAUGUCGAAUAUGUGAGCUAUAGGCUCUUCGAUGUGAAAUAUGUGUCAAAUGAUCAGUUCAAUGGAAAUUGGAUGAAAAAAUAGAAAAAAAAAGUUUUGGUCGAUUUGCCG
rnacentral:lncRNA from 1 species